rnacentral:misc_RNA from 1 species
UCACGUAUCCACGUACAAACCACUGUGAACUGUUCUCCCUUUCGGAGGUGCUGGGUUUGGCUAGAUCAAUAUCGCUUCGCUGUCGUGAUAGAAGUGUGGUCUAGCCGUUCCUGAACUCGCUUCAGGACGCCUGUAUCUUUGAAAGCGGUUAUUAUCACGCAACCUUAACCUUUAUUAACCCCUUUAACCUUUAUGAACUGAAAUUAAGCUUGAUGCGAAGGAGUGCCUCGGCAUUCUUGAAGUCAAGUCUUUAUUACGAAACUAAGAA